rnacentral:tRNA from 1 species
CGGGGUGUAGCGCAGUCCGGUUAGCGCCCCUGCUUUGGGAGCAGGGGGUCCCAGGUUCGAAUCCUGGUACCCCGA